AUUAAGGAUGUGGAGGAACA
rnacentral:misc_RNA from 1 species